AGCGAACGCUGGCGGCAGGCUUAACACAUGCAAGUCGAGCGGGCACUUCGGUGUCAGCGGCAGACGGGUGAGUAACACGUGGGAACGUACCCUUCGGUUCGGAAUAACGCUGGGAAACUAGCGCUAAUACCGGAUACGCCCUUUUGGGGAAAGGUUUACUGCCGAAGGAUCGGCCCGCGUCUGAUUAGCUAGUUGGUGGGGUAAUGGCCUACCAAGGCGACGAUCAGUAGCUGGUCUGAGAGGAUGAUCAGCCACACUGGGACUGAGACACGGCCCAGACUCCUACGGGAGGCAGCAGUGGGGAAUAUUGGACAAUGGGCGCAAGCCUGAUCCAGCCAUGCCGCGUGAGUGAUGAAGGCCUUAGGGUUGUAAAGCUCUUUUGGCCGGGACGAUAAUGACGGUACCGGAAGAAUAAGCCCCGGCUAACUUCGUG
rnacentral:rRNA from 1 species